UAUAUGGAUCUGAAGAUUAUUUUUGAUUUACUCUAUUAUUUUAAGAUUUUCUUGUUAGGAAUAUUUGUUAUAUUUUCCUUUUAGAUAAAUCUGUAGUUAAGAUUUUUUGGUUAUUUUCCUUUUAGAUAAAUCUCUAGUUGAGAUUUUUUUGGUUAUUCUCAGAUGUAAUUAGGAUAUAAAUAACCUACAAGGUUUUAUGAAAAGGGGACGAUGAUUAUUGAAUAAAAAUUUUGAACCUUUCCUGCAAAGAUUUUUGGUGAGAGUUUUUCCCGGAUGGUUUUCCGGUUCUGGCGAGGUCCAGAGUUUUAAUAUUUUGUUGGAUCUGAGUUCCUCUUAAUUUUCUGCAAAUUUUGACUACUUAUUUGUGAGAAUUGAGUAAGAUUUGAGAAAAUAGAGAGGUUGAGAGUAGAGAGGAGAGCUUGUGCAAGCAGCUGAGAGAAGAGGUUGAAGACGAAACUUAGAAACGUAGAUCCUUGAGGCGCUGCUCCCGAGGCGGCUUGGCUUCUUGCACACGUCAUCAGGCCAUGUGCCUGUGCUGAAGCAUCAAGCAGCAACUAUAUUGGAUGAACCCGGUUCACAGCACAAGCUAAGUAUUCCCCUAUACACCUCAAUUUACGCAAAUCAUCUACUGGUAAUAAAAGGUUGGUCGAUAAAACGUUUUGAUUUUUAUUUUUUUCUCGAAAAAAAAAAUUUCGUAGAUCUGUUUUUUUUUUUAUCGUCCUAAACUUUUAAAAAUUGUUUUGUCUCUUUAAUCUUGCAAGAUACUUGAUUAUUAUUGUUGGGCGAAAUUCGAUUACGCGGUAUUUACAAGCAUGAUUAGGAGGAUGUUGCAAAUAGAUUGUGGAUGAUCUGGACUAAUCAUAAUAGUUUAAUCAUGCAUUCGCUGGAUGUCGUAUGGUACAAUCUCCUAUCUGAUCAACUUUUCUUAUUUUAUUAAUUUUCUUUUCGAACGUUCAUUUCUAAAAAAAUAUAUAUAUAUUUUUGCUCGUUUAAUUUUAUCUUAGCAAAAUUUUUGUCUACCACAUCUAAGGAGUUUUACAUGUAGGAUAGGUUUGACCCGUCCUGCAUCAGAUUUGGUAUCAGAGCCCUAGGUUAAUGUAUGAUCCUUAGAAGUGGUAAAAUUUAUCAUCCUGAACCCAUGUCUUUUGAACCCACUGCAAUGGAUCAGAUUUUACAGCAACUGACUGCUUUGAACACUAAAUUAGAUGACAUAGGGGAUCGUGUGGCCAUCCUUGAGACUAGUCGGACUGUAGUAGGCAAUGUGAUUGCAACUCCUGAUAGAAUAGCCCUCAGAGCCCAACGCCAACCCGACCUUCCUAGACAUAAUUUCUCACUAGACAACGACAUUACCAAAAAGAUCAAAAUUGAAGCCCCAACUUUCGAUGGAAGAUUUGAUCCUAAGACUUUCACUGAUUGGCUGACUGAUAUGGACCAAUUCUUUGAUUGGAACGAUAUGUCGGAUGACCGUCGCGUUCGCUUUACCAAAAUGAAACUUGUAGGGGCAGCCAAAUAAUAUUGGGUGAGUGUUGAGCGAUAAUUGGCUAGGUCUAGGCAAGCACCGAUCACGUUGUGGGAUGAGAUGAAGGCCAAAUUAAGUGAAAAAUAUUUGCCCUCGACCCAUAGGCAGCUUCAAAUAGAACAAAUGUUGUCCUUACGUCAAGGUUCAAUGUCCGUGGCUGAUUACAUGCAAAAGUUUGAUGAGAUUUCUGUUAGGUGUAAUGUCCAGGAAGAAGAGGACGUGACAUUGGCCCGGUUUAGGAGAGGAUUACGUGAGGAAAUCUAGAAAGAGAUUACACCCCAUCGAGUAAACACAGUAGAGGAUGCGUUCCAACUCGCACUCGAAUAUGAGCGUUAUCUUAAACCACCUACUAGGCGUUUCGGUUACCAAGCCGGGGAGUCAAGUACUAAGAAGUGGACCGAUAGAAACCAAAACACUGGUAAGUCAAUCGUACCCUUCAAUCAACCUAAUCGAGAUUCUAGGGGAAAAUCUUUAGUUGAAGGAACUAAACCAGACCUUUCUCCAGUGAAGUGUUUUAACUGUGAAGUAAUGGACCAUUACUCGAAUAAGUGUCCACAAAAGCGUAACUUGAUGAUGAAAAACGAUGAAGAUGAUUUCGAGGAAGUAGUGCAUGAGACUGAGGAGUAUCCAAGUGACAAGGAUGAGAGCGCGUAUGUAGAUGACCUAGACGACAUCAUUCCACUACAAGUCGUCCGUUGUGUUCUUACCACGAAGGAGGAUGAGGGUGACUGGCGACGCACUGCUAUCUUCCACACUUAUACCAAGUGCGGGGAUAAGGUAUGCAAGGUCGUUAUUGAUGGCGGCAGUUGCAUGAAUGUGGUAGCCAAAACAGCCCUUGACCGAAUGAAGUUGACCCCUGAACCACAUCCAAAUCCCUUUCGAGUUGCUUGGGUAGAUAAGACUACGAUACCUGUCACUGAGCGAUGUUUGGUCCCUCUCAACUUUGCUACAUAUAGGGAUCAAGUAUGGUGUGAUGUCCUCCCAAUGGAUGUCGGACACAUUCUUUUGGGACGACCAUGGUUGUACGAUCAUGAUGUUACACAUUAUGGUCGUCAAAACACAUACACCUUCACUCAUGAUAAGAAAAAGAUCGUGCUAAGACCUCACCGACCUAAGCUGAUUCAGUAUUCGACCAGCCAAUCUAAUGCACGUAAUGGACCAACCACAUCUAAGGAAAAUAGGUUGGUAGAGCAAACUAGACCGCUUCAAUUCUUGAACAAGAAGCAAUUUUGUAGGGAGGCUAGUUCUGUCGUUGUUUACGCAUUAGUUGUUCGAGAGGUAGAGAAGCCUUCCCUUGAAUCUGAUCUGCCAUUGAACCUUCGAAACCUAUUAUCUGACUAUUCUGAUUUGACCCCAGACGAGUUACCUGAUUAGCUGCCACCCAUGAGAGAUAUUCAACAUGCGAUAGAUUUGGUGCCUGGAUCAUCAUUGUCAAACCUGCCACAUUAUAGGAUGAACCCUAAGGAGCAUGGUGAAUUGAAACGUCAAGUAGAGGACUUGGUUAGAAAAGGUUUCAUUAGGGAGAGUAUGAGUCCUUGUGCAGUCCCGGCACUCCUUACUCCUAAGAAGGAUGGAACUUGGCGAAUGUGCAUCGAUAGUCGAGCCAUCAACAAGAUCACUAUUAAGUAUAGAUUUCCGAUUCCUCGAUUGGAUGAUAUGCUUGAUAUGAUGGCUGGAUCCAUAAUCUUUACAAAAAUUGAUCUUAGAAGCGGGUAUCAUCAAAUAAGAAUUAGAUAAGGAGAUGAGUGGAAAACUGCCUUUAAAACGAAGGAAGGAUUGUGCGAGUGGUUGGUCAUGCCAUUCGGAUUGACGAAUGCCCCAAGUACAUUCAUGCGAGUCAUGAAUCAAGUGCUUCAACCUUUCAUAGGAAAAUUCCUUGUAGUCUAUUUCGACGAUAUUCUGAUUUAUAGUAAGACCGAAGAUGAACACCUAAGUCACCUUAGGCAAGUUUUAGACACUCUUAGGAGAGAAAAGCUUUACAUCAAUACCAAGAAAUGUGUUUUCAUGCAACCUAAGGUUGUUUUCUUAGGCUUCGUAGUAUCUGUAAAUGGAGUGUCAGCCGAUCCCGAUAAGGUCAAAGCAAUCCAACAGUGGCCCCAACCGCAGAAUAUUCGUGAUGUUAGAAGUUUUCAUAGGUUAGCGAUAUUCUACUGAAGAUUCAUUAGAGGUUUUAGUACCAUUAUGGCUCCAAUUACAAAUUGCAUGAAAAAGGGAGAAUUCACAUGGACCAAGGCUGCGAGUAAGGCAUUUAAUGAAAUUAAGGAACGUAUGGCUAAUCCACCUGUCUUGAGAUUACCUGAUUUUGAGAAGAUCUUUGAGGUUUCGUGCGAUGCAUCUGGAGUAGGAAUAGGUGGAAUCUUGAGUCAAGAAGGUCAUCCAAUUGCUUAUUUUAGUGAAAAAUUGAAUGAGGCAAAGAUGAAAUACUCCACGCACGACAAGGAAUUGUAUGCAAUUGUGCACGCCCUACGAUAUAGGCGACAUUAUUUAUUACCUAAGGAGUUUGUUUUACUUUCGGACCAUCAAGCCCUUAGCUAUCUUAAGUCGCAAAAGAAAUUAAAUUCACGGCAUGCCAAGUGGGUUGCGUUUUUUGAGGAAUAUACCUAUGUUCUUAAGCAUGUUGCUGGUAUCGAAAACAGAGCUGCCGAUGCUCUUAGUCGUGUUAUCAUGACUUUGCAUGCUGUAGGAACACAAGUCAUAGGGUUUGAUCGAGUUAAAGACGAAUACCCCACGUGUCCAGAUUUUGGUGAGACUUAUAAGAAUAUUCUUGAUGGAUUGCAUGAUAACCCUGAUUUUAUUAUUCAUGAUGGAUAUUUAUUUAAGGGUAGACGUUUGUAUGUUCCCCAAGGUUCAUUGAGAGAUUUUAUGAUUUGGGAAUUGCAUUUUGGAGGUUUAGCAGGGCAUUUUGGUAGGGAUAAGACCAUUAUUUUGGUAGAGGAUCGUUUGUUUUGGCCAAGUCUUAAACGAGAUGUGGCACGUGUUGUUGCCCAGUGUGGUAUAUGCCAGACUGGUAAAGGAAAGCGAAAAAAUAUUGGAUUAUAUACACCUUUACCUAUACCUCACGCCCCCUGGCAAGAUCUUAGCAUGGACUUUGUUCUAGGACUUCCUAAAACCAUUCGAGGUCACGAUUCGAUUUUAGUUGUCGUUGAUAGGUUUUCAAAAAUGGCACAUUUUAUAUUAUGUAGGAAGACUUCUGACGCCACCCAUGUAGCGAAACUUUUUGUUGAUCACGUCAUAAAAUUGCAUGGAUUACCAAAGACUAUUGUGAGUGAUAGAGAUGUGCGGUUUGUGAGUUAUUUUUGGAAGACAAUGUGGAAAUUAAUGAACACUAAAUUACAAUUUUCUUCACCAUAUCACCCACAAACAGAUGGCCAAAUUGAGGUUGUUAAUCGAAGCUUAGGAGAUUUAUUACGUUGUCUAGUGGGUGAUCACACUAGGAACUGGGAUAGCGUUUUACCUAUGGCCGAAUUUGCCUAUAAUAACUCAGUUAAUCGCACCACUGGAAUGAGUCCGUUUGAGAUUGUCAUUGGUUACAACCCUAGGACACCCAUUGACCUAAUUCUGUUACCCGUAGACUAUAGGUCAAGCCAACAUGCUGAAGCCUUUGUUCAACAUAUAAAAGAAUUGCAUGAUAAAAUAAGACGAGCAAUUAUUUUAAAAACUGAGAUUUACGCAAAUAAAGCAAAUGAACGUCGGCGUAAAGGAAAUUUUAAAGAAGGAGAUAUGGUUAUGGUAAGGGUUCGACCAGAACGAUUUCGCAGCGGUACAGUGAAAAAGCUACAUGCAAGAAAUUUGGGUCCAUUCAAAAUCUUGAAACAACUGAAUCCAAAUGCUUAUGUCUUGGAUUUGCCUGCUAAUAUCGGGUUUAACUCAAUGGUCAAUAUCGAGGAUCUGAGCCACUACCAUGAGCCUCUUUCCAUUGAGAAUCCCAUCUCCAUAAAUAUAUCUCCACGUCAACCUCCUCCUCCACUUCCAAUCCCUCCCAUACCGAGAAAGAAAGAAGAAAUCGAACAGGUUCUCGACGACCGAGUUGUUAUUACACGAUCAGGAGAUUCGCGUAGCUUUAUGGUAAAGUGGGCAUCCCGACCAGAUGAAGAAGUGACAUGGAUACCGGAACACGAGCUUAGAGACAUUGCUCCAGAUCUCAAGCAGCUGAGAGAAGAGGUUGAAGACGAAACUUAGAAACGUAGAUCCUUGAGGCGCUGCUCCCGAGGCGGCUUGGCUUCUUGCACACGUCAUCAGGCCAUGUGCCUGUGCUGAAGCAUCAAGCAGCAACUAUAUUGGAUGAACCCGGUUCACAGCACAAGCUAAGUAUUCCCCUAUACACCUCAAUUUACGCAAAU
rnacentral:lncRNA from 1 species